ensembl:lncRNA
CAGAGAGACAAGCUACUUCUAGAGUGUGACUGCAGGCUACAGAUGUUGAAUGUUUUUUGUGGUCAGAUGGUUCCUAUGUUUUUUAAUUAGACGCAUAUGCAAUUGCUGGAUCCUUCUGAAGAAAGACAGACAUCUACUCCCUUUAACGGGGCAAUCUAACUGAUUUAAAGGGUCCAGAAUGGGAGUGAAAUUCCCUGAUGUACUCUUUAACUACUGUCAGUUGUGUUUAACUCCCCACUUAGCAAUGGUUUUCAUGAUUAUUUUUUUUAGUUAGGACGCGUUCUAACCCAAAGGGGUUUUGAUAAUGGACUGCAUACAUUUCGGUUAUUUUUCUCAGAAUGGUACCUCAUGGAACUCAGACUUGUGGCAUGGGACCAUUUGGCAACAACGAGGUCCCUUCCGAGGAGGCCCUGGUGUUGCACCUGCGACUGGCCAAGGGCCAGGAGAAACUGGUGGAGGCCCUGAGGAGUCAGCAGGACGAGAUCCGAGAGCUCCAGCACAGACUGAGCGAG